GUGGAUAGACAUGCAGUCGAACGGGUUAAUUUGGUAGUAUAUCAAAUUUGGCUAGUGGCGCACGGGUGAGUAACACGUGAGUAAUCUGCCGAGAAGUGGGGGAUAGCUUGCCGAAAGGCAAAUUAAUACCGCAUGUGAUAGCAAUAUUAAAGUCGGGGUAACCUGACGCUUCUUGAUGAGCUCGCGGCCUAUCAGCUUGUUGGCGGGGUAACGGCCCACCAAGGCUAUGACGGGUAGCUGGUCUGAGAGGACGACCAGUCACACUGGAACUGAGACACGGUCCAGACACCUACGGGUGGUAGCAGUCGAGAAUUUUUCUCAAUAGGGGAAACCCUGAAGGAGCGACGCCGCGUGGAGGAUGAAGGCUUUCGGGUCGUAAACUCCUGUCAUUAGGGAACAAUUGUCAGCGAUUAACUGUCGCGGACUUGAUAGUACCUGAAGAGGAAGGGACGGCUAACUCUGUGCCAGCAGCCGCGGUAAUACAGAGGUCCCAAGCGUUGUUCGGAUUCAUUGGGCGUAAAGGGUGCGUAGGUGGUAGACUAAGUCGGAUGUGAAAUCCCAGAGCUCAACCCUGGAACUGCAUUCGAUACUGGCCUGCUCGAGGACUGGAGAGGAGAUUGGAAUUCAUGGUGU
rnacentral:rRNA from 1 species